AACGAACGCUGGCGGCAUGCCUAACACAUGCAAGUCGAACGAGAUCUUCGGAUCUAGUGGCGCACGGGUGCGUAACGCGUGGGAAUCUGCCUUGGGGUUCGGAAUAACUCCCCGAAAGGGGUGCUAAUACCGGAUGAUGUCGAAAGACCAAAGAUUUAUCGCCCUGAGAUGAGCCCGCGUAGGAUUAGCUAGUUGGUGAGGUAAAGGCUCACCAAGGCGACGAUCCUUAGCUGGUCUGAGAGGAUGAUCAGCCACACUGGGACUGAGACACGGCCCAGACUCCUACGGGAGGCAGCAGUGGGGAAUAUUGGACAAUGGGCGAAAGCCUGAUCCAGCAAUGCCGCGUGAGUGAUGAAGGCCUUAGGGUUGUAAAGCUCUUUUACCCGGGAUGAUAAUGACAGUACCGGGAGAAUAAGCUCCGGCUAACUCCGUGCCAGCCGCCGCCGUAAUAC
rnacentral:rRNA from 1 species